AGUGAACGCUGGCGGUAGGCCUAACACAUGCAAGUCGAACGGCAGCACAGUAAGAGCUUGCUCUUACGGGUGGCGAGUGGCGGACGGGUGAGGAAUACAUCGGAAUCUACUUUUUCGUGGGGGAUAACGUAGGGAAACUUACGCUAAUACCGCAUACGACCUACGGGUGAAAGCAGGGGAUCUUCGGACCUUGCGCGAUUGAAUGAGCCGAUGUCGGAUUAGCUAGUUGGCGGGGUAAAGGCCCACCAAGGCGACGAUCCGUAGCUGGUCUGAGAGGAUGGACAGCCACACUGGAACUGAGACACGGCCCAGACUCCUACGGGAGGCAGCAGUGGGGAAUAUUGGACGAUGGGCGCAAGCCUGAUCCAGCCAUACCGCGUGGGUGAAGAAGGCCUUCGGGUUGUAAAGCCCUUUUGUUGGGAAAGAAAAGCAGCAGGUUAAUACCCCGCUGUUCUGACGGUACCCAAAGAAUAAGCACCGGCUAACUUCGUG
rnacentral:rRNA from 1 species